CCUACGGGUGGCAGCAGUAGGGAAUCUUCCACAAUGGGCGAAAGCCUGAACCAGCCAAGUCGCGUGAGGGAUGACGGUCCUAUGGAUUGUAAACCUCUUUUGUCGGGGAGCAAGGCCCGCCACGUGUGGCGGGAAGGAGAGUACCCGAAGAAAAAGCAUCGGCUAACUCAGGGCCAGCAGCCGCGGUAAUACGGAGGAUGCGAGCGUUAGCCGGAUUUGUUGGUUUUAAAGGGUGCGUAGGCGGAAGGUUAAGUCAGCGGUCAAAUGUCGGUGCUCAACACCGGCCUGCCGUUGAAACUGGUCUUCUUGAGUGAGCGAGAAGUAUGCGGAAUGCGUGGUGUAGCGGUGAAAUGCAUAGAUAUCACGCAGAACUCCGAUUGCGAAGGCAGCAUACCGGCGCUCAACUGACGCUGAGGCACGAAAGCGUGGGGAUCGAACAGGAUUAGAUACCCGGGUAGUC
rnacentral:rRNA from 1 species